AGUGAACGCUGGCGGUAGGCCUAACACAUGCAAGUCGAACGGCAGCACAGUAAGAGCUUGCUCUUACGGGUGGCGAGUGGCGACGGGUGAGGAAUACAUCGGAAUCUACUUUUUCGUGGGGGAUAACGUAGGGAAACUUACGCUAAUACCGCAUACGACCUACGGGUGAAAGCAGGGGAUCUUCGGACCUUGCGCGAUUGAAUGAGCCGAUGUCGGAUUAGCUAGUUGGCGGGGUAAAGGCCCACCAAGGCGACGAUCCGUAGCUGGUCUGAGAGGAUGAUCAGCCACAAGGGAACUGAGACACGGUCCAGACUCCGACGGGAGGCAGCAGUGGGGAAUAUUGGACAAUGGGCGCGAGCCUGAUCCAGCCAUACCGCGUGGGGGAAGAAGGCCUUCGGGUUGUAAAGCCCUUUUGUUGGGAAAGAAAAGCAGCAGGUUAAUACCCCGCUGUUCUGACGGUACCCAAAGAAUAAGCACCGGCUAGAUUAGUG
rnacentral:rRNA from 1 species